CAGCAGCCGCGGUAAUACGAAGGGUGCAAGCGUUACUCGGAUUUACUGGGCGUAAAGCGUGCGUAGGCGGCUUUUUAAGUCGGAUGUGAAAUCCCUGAGCUUAACUUAGGAAUUGCAUUCGAUACUGGGAAGCUAGAGUAUGGGAGAGGAUGGUAGAAUUCCAGGUGUAGCGGUGAAAUGCGUAGAGAUAUGGAGGAAUACCGAUGGCGAAGGCAGCCAUCUGGCCUAAUACUGACGCUGAGGUACGAAAGCAUGGGGAGCAAACAGGAUUAGAUACCCGAGUAGUCCCUGUCUCUUAUAC
rnacentral:rRNA from 1 species